CCUACGGGAGGCAGCAGUGAGGAAUAUUGGACAAUGGGUGAGAGCCUGAUCCAGCCAUGCCGCGUGCAGGAAGACUGCCCUAUGGGUUGUAAACUGCUUUUAUACAGGAAGAAACACUCGGACGUGUCCGAGCUUGACGGUAC
rnacentral:rRNA from 1 species